UAUGUCAUUCCUUUUGCUUUUUUCUGAGUUCAUAGGAAGGCUCGUUGCACUGUGGAACGAGGCAUUGGCCAACUUAAAAAAAAGAUUUCAUGUUCUGCAUAGUGAGGUGCGUCUCGGUCCUGAAAAGACGUGCAAGUUGAUUAAUGUCUGUGCUGUGCUUCACAACAUUUGUAAGGCUUGGAACAUCCCUUUGCCUGAUGACAAUGUUGAGGAUGAUGCAGUGGAAGUAGGUGAUGGUGCACAGUUGCAUCUAAAUCCAGGCAUUCCUGCUGCCCGCAAUGGACAUCCAUUCCGGGACUAUAUUGCCAACCUACAUUUUCAAUGAUGCAUGAAGUCACAACAUGUGGACCCUGUCAAGUCAGCAUUGCAUGUAUCUUCAUAUGGAGACUAUAGACAACAAAUUCUCUCUCCGAACUACUUUCUCUUAAGGGAGCAGAAGAUGGCCAUAAUAUCACUUAGCAGUAAUAUAGGAAAUAAAAGAGCUGAUGCUGUUGGUUGUCCUCCUGGUGGGGGUACUGCUGAUGGUCCUGCUGGUGGUCUACCUGGUGCUGCUGCUGGUGGUCCUCCUGGUGCUGCUGCUGCUGGUGGUCCUCCUGGUGCUGCUGCUGCUGCCGCUGA